AUUUAAUAUUGGUGAGGUUUCAGUUUAAUGUUUUGAAUUGAAAUAAUAUUGCUAGGUUUUCUGUGUUUGGGUUGGAUCUAUUCACAGUCGGCAUAUUGAGUAUCAAUUGGUAAAUUUAUUUUUAAUAUUAAAUCUCUCCACUCUCUAUUUGACAUUUUUAUCAUAAACCUACUAAGUCAAAACUAAUGCACUUUUUUUUCUAAUGCACUUUUUUUUUCUAUUCUAUCUGUAAUAAAUAAGUUUAGAUAAUAAAGGUUUUUUUAUUAAUAAUGAGAAAUAAAGAUCUCAAAAGGUCUAAUAUAAUAUCCAUAAUAGAAUACCACUCACUAUUCUAACAUCAAGAUAUUAAUAAAGUCCACUUAAAUACUUCCCUUCCUCUCAAAUCAAACAUUACCUUAGUUGUAACUAAUUAUUAUUUUUAUAUAAUAAUAUAAUAAUAAUUAAAAAGUAAUAUAAUCAAUAAAUUAAUUACUUGACUUUACUAUUGUAUUUAUUUAUGGAAGGAUGAGUAAAAUCAGGCCGUUGAUAAAAUAAAGUAUAUAUAUGAGACAAACAAAAUUAGAUAUCCAAUAAUUAAUCUAAUUAUUUCUCUGAAUACCCGUUAUUAUCGGAUCAAAAAUAACAUAAUGUUAAUUUUAUGCAAUUUUAUAUUUUUAUGCGUAUACUUUUCUACUAUCCCAAUUUUAAUAUUUACAAAAAUUUAAAAGAGAAAGGUGGAAACAAGUUGGUGUUUUCAUGGAAACUAAAAUUGGAGAGUAUUUUUGGGUUGUGAGUUAGUUGAAGCUUUUAAACGCUAGCGGUAUUUUUGUUAGGUUCUUAAAAUUUAAUAUUGAUGAGGUUUCAGUUUAAUGUUUUGAAUUGAAAGGUAAUAUUGCUUAGGUUGUCUGUGUUUGGUUGGAUCUAUUCACAGUCGGUAUAUUGAGUAUCAAUUGGUAAAUUUAUUUUUAAUAUUAAAUCUCUUCACUCUCUAUUUGAUAUUUUUAUCAUAAAACCUACUAAGUCAAAACUAGUGCACAUUUUUUUUUCUAAUGCACUUUUUUUUUCUAUUCUACUGUAUAAAAUAAGUAUAGAUAAUAAAGGUUUUAUUAUAUUAUAAUGAGAAAUAACAAAUAUCCCAAAAGGUCUAAUAUAAUAUCCAUAAUAGAAUACCACUCAAUAUUCUAACAUCAAGAUAUUAAUAAAGUCCCACUUAAAUACUUCUCCUUCCUCUCAAAUCAAACAUUACCUUAGUUGUAACUAAUUAUUAUUUUUAUAUAAUAAAUAAUAAUUAAUAAUUUAAAAAGUAAUAUAAUCAAUAGAAUUAAUUAUGUAUGAGCAUGCUCACUAUUCUUCUUAUCAUCAAAGAAUCCAUUGAUAUUAAUAACGUGUCCUGAUACGCAAUUAUGCAUAUUCCUACCUGUUGCCUGCUCAUACAUCGCUAUACAUAUAUGCGUCUAUGCUUGUUGCUUACGAGCUUAAUUGAGUUUGUGAUAAUAUAUUCAUAACUGCAAUACUUAAAUAACUACUUAUAUACAGAGACUUGCAAUAUAAUCAAUAGAAAUAAUUUACACUUGUGGACGUUUUGAUCUAUUGUUAUAUGCUAUUUAUGGUUAAGAGGAUGAGUUAAAAUCAGACGAUCCUGUGGAUAAAAUACCAGUAUAUCUAUAAUGUGAUGGCACAAUAAUCAAAGCAAUAGUUUAUAGACAAUAUCUCUCGAGAUCACCAUUUCUCAUAGACUAUACUUGUCUCGAUUAACUUUCAGAUCGCUGAAUUUUAGCCCGUUUACUUAGUUCGAGAGUCACCAAAUACACAGGAGUCUAUAUUGUGUGGUGAUUUUUUGAUGCGACCUAGCAAUUUAUACUUCUCUAUUAUCCAACCUUAUAUCUCCUCAACUCUCUCUCGAAUUGAUUUACUCUCGCGCAGAAAAUUUAAGAGAAAGUGGGUACAAGUUAGGUGUUUUCAUGGAAAUUAAAAUUGGAGAGUUUAUUGUGGUUGUGAGUUAAGUUGAAGCUUUUAAUUGCGCGCUUUAACCUGCUUCCAAGCGAAGUAUUUUUUAGUUAGGUUCUCUCCACGUUUCUACUAUGCCUAGACUGCGUCUCCAAGAUUUUCAGAUUGUUGUUGCAAUUUGCUGAAAUUGAACAGGAUAAAUUAGUUGCUCCUAGGUUGUCUGUUGUUACCAUAUGGUUGUGGUUACGUACACUCAUAUAACCACCAAGUAGACCUAUUCCAUCCAUCAUUGAUUGAGUAGCAUCAAUCGAAAUUUUCUGCGUCAAGUCUUCUUUAUUUUUUAUAUUAAAUAUAUAUAUUCUGACACCAAAACUAAGCGUUUAUCAUAUUAACAUAACUCUUAAUAUACUCUAUUACGGUACUCACUUUGUACAGUAUGCAUUAUAUUUCUUCAAUGAGUUUUCAAUUUUUCAUAUACCUAUACUCUUGAGGUGUGAUUGAUUUACAGAUUCUCAGGCAUAUACAAUGCUAUUCCUUUCAAUUCUUGUAUUAAUACUUGUAUCAUUGAAUAGGGUUGUUAGGAUCACAAACUUACAUAGGUAUGUUCUCUCAGAAAUAGGGUCUUCAAUUCAUGUGCUCAAUUCAAUGAACGCACCUAUAAUUCAGUGCCUUUGAAUACUUCUGUUUUAAACCUUCUUCGAGGAAUGCAUUUACACUCCACCGAAUCCACAUAUGAAUGAGGGCCUCUCAAAUCAAACAUUACCUUAGUUGUAACUAAUUAUUAUUUUUAUAUAAUAAAUAAUAAUUAAUAAUUUAAAAAGUAAUAUAAUCAAUAGAAUUAAUUACUUGACUUUACUAUUGUAUAUUAUAUAUGGAAGGAUGAGUAAAAUCAGGCCGUUGAUAAAAUAAAGUAUAUAUAUGAGAAACAAAUUUAGAUAUCCAAUAAUUAAUCUAAUUAUUUCUAUGAAUACCCGUUUAUUAUUCUGAUCACAAAUAAACCUAAUGUUAUAUUUUUAUGCAAUUUUAUAUUUUUAUGCGUAUACUUUUCUACUAUCCCAAUUUUAAUAGUUACAAAAAUUUAAAAGAGAACGCAAAGUACAAGUUAGGUGUUUUCAUGGAAACAUUAAAAUGAGAGAGUAUAUUUGGGUUCUGAGUUAAUUUGAAGCUUUUAAACGCUAGCUGUAUUUUUGCUAGGUUCUUAAAAUUUAAUAUUGAUGAGGUUUUAGUUUAAUGUUUUGAAUUGAAAGGUAAUAUUCUUAGGUUGUCUGUGUUUGGUUGGAUCUAUUCACAGUCAGCAUAUUGAGUAUCAAUUGGUAAAUUUAUUUUUAAUAUUAAAUCUCUUCACUCUCUAUUUGACAUUUUUAUCAUAAAACCUACUAAGUCAAAACAAAUGCACAUUUUUUUCUAAUGCACUUUUUUUUUUCUAUUCUACUGUAUAAAAUAAGUUUAGAUAAUAAAGGUUUUAUUAUAUUAUAAUGAGAAAUAACAAAGAUCUCAAAACGUCUAAUAUAAUAUCCAUAAUAGAAUACCACUCACUAUUCUAACAUCAAGAUAUUAAUAAAGUGCAACUUAAAUACUUCUCCUUCCUCUUAAAUCAAACAUUAAAUUAGUUGUAACUAAUUAUUAUUUCUAUAUAAUAAAUAAUAAUUAAUAAUUUAAAAAGUAAUAUAAUCAAUAGAAUUAAUUACUUGAUUUUACUAUUGUAUAUUAUUUAUGGAAGGAUGAGUAAAAUCAGGCCGUUGAUAAAAUAAAGUAUAUAUAUUAGACAAACAAAUUUAGAUAUCCAAUAAUUAAUCUAAUUAUUUCAAUGAAUACCCGUUUUUACUAUUGUAUAUUAUUUAUGAAAGGAAUGAGUAAAAUCAGGUCGUUGAUAAUAUAAGUAUAUAUAUGAGACAAACAAAUUUAGAUAUCCAAUAAUUAAUCUAAUUAUUCUCUGAAUACCCGUUUAUAUUCGGAUCAAAAAUAAACAUAUGUUUAUAUUUUAUGCAAUUUUAUAUUUUUAUGCGUAUACUUUUCUCUACCCAAUUUUAAUAUUUACAAAAUUUAAAAGAGAAAGUGGAAUACAAGUUAGGUGUUUUCAUGGAAACGUUAAAAUUGAGAGGUAUAUUUGGGUGUGAGUUAACGUUGAGCUUUAAACGCUAGCGGUAUUUUGUUAGGUUUUAAAAUUCAAUAUUGGUGGGUUCAGUUUAAUGUUUUGAUUGAAAGUAAUAUAUGCUUAGGUUGUCUGUGUUUGGUUGGAUCUAUCCACAGUCGGCAUAUUGAGUAUCAAUUGGUAAUUAUUUUUAAUAUUAAAUCUCUCCACUCUCAUAUGACAUUUUUAUCAUAAAACCUACUAAGUCAAAACUAAUGCACAUUUUUUUUCUAAUGCACUUUUUUUUCUAUUCUACUGUAUAAAUAUUUAGAUAAUAAAUGUUUAUUAUAUUAUAAUGAGAAAUAACAAAGACUCUCAAAGGUCUAAUAUAUAUCCAUAAUAGAAUACCACUCACUUCAACAUCAAGAUAUUAAUAAAGUGCCACUUAAAUACUUCUCCUUCCUCUCAAAUUAAACAUUACCUUAGUUGUAACUAAUUUAGUUAAUAUAAUAAAUAAUAAUUAAUAACUUAAAAAGUAAUAUAAUCAAUAGAAUUAAUUACUUGACUUUACAAUUGUAUAUUAUUUAUGGAAGGAUGACUAAAAUUAGGCCGUUGAUAAAAUAAAGUAUAUAAUAUGAGACAAACAUUUAGAACCCAAUAUUUAAUCUAAUUAUUUCUAUGAAUACCCGUUAUUUAUUCGGAUCAAAAAUAAACCUAAUGUUAUAUUUUUAUGCAAUUUAUAUUUUUAUCGUAUACUUUUCUACUAUCCCAAUUUAAUAUUUACAAAAAUUUAAAAGAGAAAAGUGGAUACAAGUUAGUGUUUUUCAUGGAAACAUUAAAAUUGGAGAGUAUAUUUGGGUGUGUGAGUUAAGUUGAAGCUUUUAAACGUAGCGGUAUUUUUGUUAGGUUCUUAAAUUAAUAUUGGUGAGGUUUCAGUUUAAUGUUUUGAAUUGAAAGGUAAUAUUGCUUAGGUUGUCUGUGUUUGGUUGGAUCUAUUCACAGUCGGCAUAUUGAGUAUCAAUUGGUAAAUUUAUUUUUAAUAUUAAAUCUCUCCACUCUCUAUUUGACAUUUUUAUCAUAAAACCUACUAAGUCAAAACUAAUGCACUUUUUUUUCUAAUGCACUUUUUUUUCUAUCUAUCUGUAUAAAAUAAGUUUAGAUAAUAAAGGUUUAUUUAUUAAAAUGAGAAAUAACAAAGAUCUCAAAAG
rnacentral:lncRNA from 1 species